rnacentral:misc_RNA from 1 species
UCUCCGUUGGUGAACCAGCGGAGGGAUCAUUACCGAGUUUACAACUCCCAAACCCAAUGUGAACCAUACCAAACUGUUGCCUCGGCGGGGUCACGCCCCGGGUGCGUCGCAGCCCCGGAACCAGGCGCCCGCCGGAGGGACCAACUAAACUCUUUCUGUAGUCCCCUCGCGGACGUUAUUUUUACAGCUCUGAGCAAAAAUUCAAAAUGAAUCAAAACUUUCAACAACGGAUCUCUUGGUUCUG